GCAGACGUGGCCGAGUGGUUAAGGCGAUGGACAAGAAAUCCAUUGGGGUCUCCCCGCACAGGUUCGAAUUCUGUCGACUGCG
rnacentral:tRNA from 1 species